GGAUCAUUAUCGAACAAAAUGGGAAGGGGAAAGGGGGGUGGAGAUUGUGCUGGCUUUUUUCUCUAGGCAUUGUGCACAUUUCUUCUUCUUUCACCUUUCACAUUACACACACCUUGUGCACUCUUUGUAGGCCCUCGAAAGAGGAUCUAUGUAAUUCUACAUCACCCUAAUGUAUGUCUAUAGAAGGUCAUCAUUAUAAUACAACUUUCAGCAAUGGAUCUCUUGGCUCUCGCAUCGAUGACGAACGCAGCGAAUUGCGAUAUGUAAUGUGAAUUGCAGAUUUUCAGUGAAUCAUCGAAUCUUUGAACGCACCUUGCGCUCCUUGGUAUUCCAAGGAGCAUGCCUGUUUGAGUGUCAUUGAAUUCUCAACCAUGUCUUUUCUGAGACAUGGCUUUGGACUUGGGGGUUGCUGGUCAUGGAUUAGCUCCUCUGAAAUGUAUUAGCGAAAAAGGGUGUCAAGUCCUUUUCCUGGAUGUGCAUGGCCUUUGGCGUGAUAAUGAUCGUCAUGGGCUUGGAGCAUCUGCAAUGGGGGGAAAGGGCGCAGAUCCUUUGACUGCUUCUAAUCCUUGGGCUUUGGUUGACUUAGCUACUAGUUUGGUCUUGAACUUGUGACUGAUGAAUGUCAAGUCAAUCUCAUCUUGGGUUUUCACCUAGCUACUAGUUUGCCUUGCUUGCAAGGUCGACAAAUGUUGGGAAAAAAGGGACCUUUGGUGGGGGUUGCUUGACUAUGAGUUGGAUUCAAUCUCAGGACUGAGCGAACGUUAGGAAAAAAAAUCCCUUAAAUUGAAUUUGACCUCAAAUCAGGUAGGAUUACCCGCUGAACUUAAGCAUAUCAAUAAGCGGAGGAAAAGAAACUAACAAGGAUUCCCCUAGUAACUGCGAGUGAAGCGGGAAAAGCUCAAAUUUUGAAUCUGGCAGUCAUUCUGGCUGUCCGAGUUGUAAUCUAGAGAAGUGUUGUCCGCGCUGGUCCUGUGUACAAGUCUCCUGGAAGGGAGCAUCCUAGAGGGUGAGAAUCCCGUCUUUGACACAGACUAACCAGGGCUUCUGUGACACACUUUCAAUGAGUCGAGUUGUUUGGGAAUGCAGCUCAAAUAGGGUGGUAAAUUCCAUCUAAAGCUAAAUACAGGCGAGAGACCGAUAGCGAACAAGUACCGUGAGGGAAAGACGAAAAGAACUUUGAAAAGAGAGUUAAACAGUACGUGAAAUUGCUGAAAGGGAAACGCUUGAUGUCAGUCGCGUUGAUUGGGGAUCAACCUUGCUUUUUACAGCUGGGUGCACUUCCUGGUCAACGGGUCAGCAUCAGUUUUGAUUGCCAUACAAUGGCCAAGGGAAUGUGGCACUUCUCUUACCAGGAGUGUGUUAUAGCCUUUCGGUCGUAUAUGGUGCUUGGGACUGAGGAACUCGGCAGGUGUUACAUCUGU
rnacentral:rRNA from 1 species